UACGAAGGGGGCUAGCGUUGCUCGGAAUUACUGGGCGUAAAGGGAGCGUAGGCGGACUGUUUAGUCAGAGGUGAAAGCCCAGGGCUCAACCUUGGAAUUGCCUUUGAUACUGGCAGUCUUGAGUACGGAAGAGGUAUGUGGAACUCCGAGUGUAGAGGUGAAAUUCGUAGAUAUUCGGAAGAACACCAGUGGCGAAGGCGACUCACUGGACACGUAUUGACGCUGAGGUGCGAAAGCGUGGGGAGCAAACAGGG
rnacentral:rRNA from 1 species